rnacentral:tRNA from 1 species
GCCGUUGUAGCUCAGGUGGUAGAGCAACUCUUUCGUAAAGAGUAGGUCACCGGUUCAAAUCCGGUCAACGGCU